rnacentral:tRNA from 1 species
GGCCACGUAGCCAAGUGGUAAGGCGACGGUCUGCAAAACCGUUAUGCGCGGGUUCGAUUCCCACCGUGGCCU